AGAUUGAGACGUGGUGUCAAGGAGAAGGGAAAAUCGGUACUAGACGGGAUUGGAUCCUGAAGGAUCUUGCUACUGGUGAAGUAAUUGGAAGAGCUACCAGCAAAUGGGUGAUGAUGAACCAAGACACCAGGAAACUUCAACGUGUAACUGACGAGGUGAAGGAAGAAUAUCUCGUCUUCUGUCCAAGAACUCUUCGACUAGCUUUCCCAGAAGAGGACAAUGGCAG
rnacentral:misc_RNA from 1 species